AAUGGAUGAAAGUCCUUUAGCUGACCAGUACUAAUAGAGCGUUUGGCUUAUCUUUAAUAAAGCAU
rnacentral:rRNA from 1 species